rnacentral:rRNA from 1 species
UACAGAGGGGGCAAGCGUUGUUCGGAAUUACUGGGCGUAAAGGGCGCGUAGGCGGCCCGCUAAGUCGAACGUGAAAUCCCCGAGCUCAACUCGGGAACUGCGUCCGAUACUGGUGGGCUUGAAUCCGGGAGAGGGAUGCGGAAUUCCAGGUGUAGCGGUGAAAUGCGUAGAUAUCUGGAGGAACACCGGUGGCGAAGGCGGCAUCCUGGACCGGCAUUGACGCUGAGGCGCGACAGCGUGGGGAGCAAACAGG